rfam:Schistosoma haematobium scaffold487_34, whole genome shotgun sequence.
AUUUAGUUGAUGAGUCCCAAGCAGGACGGAAUGCGCAUCAUGAAU